GCCCUGUCACUGCAGGUCAGGCAGAGGAGACCAGACCUGGAUUCCCAAAUCCUUCCAGUCAGGGUUCAGCGCUAAAUACAGGCCACUCACCAUGGACUUAGGGCUUAUACUGGUUUUCUCUGUCCUUAUUUUAAAAGGUGUCCAGUGUGAUGUGCAGUUGCUGGAGUCUGGGGGAGGCUUAGUGCAGCCUGGAAAGUCCCUGAAACUCUCCUGUGCAGCCUCUGGAUUCACCUUUAGUAGUUACCCAAUGAACUGGGUCCGCCAGUCUCCUGGGAAGGGGCUGGAGUGGGUUGCAUACAUUAGUAGUGGUGGUGGUAGCACCUACUAUACCGACGCUGUGAAGGGCCGGUUCACAAUCUCCAGAGACAAUGCCAAGAACACUCUGUACCUGGAAAUGAGCAGUCUGAGGUCUGCAGACACAGCCAUGUACUACUGUGCAAGAGACACAGUGAGUGAAUGUUACUGUGCGCCCAGACAAAAGCACACUGUGGGGAACACUGGACCAGCAGGGGGCGCUGAGAGCACUUAGAGAUCUGGGGCACAGAAGAGCCUGCUCAGAAAAGCAUGAAGGACUGGAUUUCUGUGUCUCACUGCCUCUCCAUAUCACACUUAGGGAUUUUCUCUACAGGUAUUUUGUGUAG